ACCAGACUCCUACGGGAGGCAGCAGUGGGGGAUAUUGCACAAUGGGGGGAACCCUGAUGCAGCAACGCCGCGUGGGUGAAGAAGCGCCUCGGCGCGUAAAGCCCUGUCAGCAGGGAAGAAAAUGACGGUACCUGAAGAAGAAGCCCCGGCUAACUACGUGCCAGCAGCCGCGGUAAUACGUAGGGGGCAAGCGUUAUCCGGAUUUACUGGGUGUAAAGGGAGCGUAGGCGGCAGGGCAAGCCUGAUGUGAAAGCCCGGGGCUCAACCCCGGGACUGCAUUGGGAACUGCCCCGCUCGAGUGCCGGAGGGGCAGGCGGAAUUCCUAGUGUAGCGGUGAAAUGCGUAGAUAUUAGGAGGAACACCAGUGGAGAAGGCGGCCUGCUGGACGGUGUACUGACGCUGAGGCUCGAAAGCGUGGGGAGCAAACAGGAUUAGAUACCCUAGUA
rnacentral:rRNA from 1 species